GAGAUUGUUUCCAAUUGAUUACCCCACAGUUCUUGCUUGGAACAGCCCAUAUAAUGAAGCAGCCGUUGUUUCAGCAAGUUUGCACAGCAGCCUUUAAUGGUUGUGAUGACAAAGGAAAGGGUUACAUCACAAGGCAACAGGUAACAUCUGCUCUGUUGUUUUCCCGUAACAAGCUUUUUCCCUUUUUUGCCCCCUUGUCUCUGAUCCUAUUGUGUGCACAUUUAGGAGAUGCCAUCCAUUCUGCAAUGCCGAGCAUGAAUGACAAUAAUGGAAGUAUCUGAGCUAUUCAACUUGUUUGACAGUGACAAUGACGGUGCUAUUCGUUCCGACAAUUUCAAGGCCUGCCUAAGAAGGAACCCCCUGCUUGUUGCGCUCUUUGCUUCUAAUUCGAUGCAUUGUGGCUUGAUAGAAGGUGGAAAGCUAGUGAUUGCAUGAUGAUUAAAUGGGUAUAUUAAAGUCCCUGUGAAAUGCUCGAUGAUUGGCUUCUAAUUCAACGUUGUGUGACUUACAAUAGGUGGGAAACUAGAGGUUGUAUGAUGAACAUAUGGGAAUAUGAUUAAAUGAAAUGAUCGAUGUUUGGCUUA